UAUUGUGUAUUUCAUUUGUGCUAUAUGAUAUGAAUUCAUUUCAAAUCCAUUUGCUUCAAAAAUCACUUGAUCAUGUCCCCCAUUAAGUUCUCAUGCCAAAACUUAUAUAGUCACAAAAAUACGCUUCUCAAUGAUAUGGCAACAGCAUGCACUACUUCAGGCCAGAAAAAUCUAUCAACUGUAUUUCUUUUGCUGACCCCCAAUUAAAGAAUGCCUAAAGAUUCAAACAGCUGGGUAUGACACAGCUGACUCAAAUAUUUUCCAAUAUUUUUUCUUUUAGUCAUGUAUAUCUCAUACGUUAGGAUCUUUUUGCCUUAAUUUUGAACUGAUGAGUAGCAUCAUAAUUCUAUACAAGGAACUCCAGG
rnacentral:lncRNA from 1 species